UUAAGGAACACCAGACAGCCUCUGGCUCCGUGCCUGCACCGACACAGCUACGGGGAUCUGCCAUGCCCUCACCCCACUCCAGCUCCGAUGCCAGGGAACAAGGGCUCCCUCAAGUGCCCCGUGGAGAAGGCAGAAGGCCACCCCCCACUCACCACCCACCCCAAAACGCAAGCCGGAGGUCUCGGCCCUGCUGGGGUGAACCCACGAAACACAUAAAGCAAGCAUCUGUAUUUUCUAAAUAGCAAGUCUGAACCACAGGGGCUUGGCCCUGCCACAGGUGACUCCUAUUAAAACUCCAAUUCAGGUCACUCAGCAUUUGCUGGAAAAAAGGAAUCCAAGCCUCUCGGAAAGAAAAACAACAAAACAGGAAGACGGAGCCCCAGCAGGACACUUAGGGCCUCUCCUUCCCCAGUGCAGGGACCGUUUCCGAGCGCCAGCUGUGUGCUCUGUGGGCACAGAUGCCAAUGGCUGUUAGCUUUGAGAGGCGGCGGCGAAAGCGAAACAAUGUCCUCGCCAGUCUGUACGGGAGUUGCUUCCUCACCUGCGACGAGCAAGACUGCGCACUUAAAGGCUGCCUGCUGUAUGCAUUCCUCCCCAGCCCAGCCGGUGUUUGAUCUGCACUCCCCCUGCCCAAGUCCUCUCUUUCUGGAGCCAGACACCAAAUGCCAGGAAAGAUACCUUUCUUGCAGUGACUCCACUGCCAGGGAAGGGUUUGCUCUGGCACCUGGACGGCGAAACGAAGAGACGAUGAGCUGAUUUGCCCCGGGCCGUUUAGGAACAAACACAUUUGAGACUGUCAGUGCCGUGCAUGCCCACAUCUCCGAUCGGUGCUUCCACACCAGGUGGCCCCUCCUGCUCCUGCCACAACAAAUACUGAUCGAAGGUGUCGCCAGGGCUCAGGUGCUGCUCUGAGAGGCCACGCUUCUAGAAAAUCCGGAUGCAGCUGACACAGUCCCCCAUCCCCAAGCAAAUCUCCCACACACGGCUCCGCAACAAAGCGUGGCAAGGCACCUGUGCCCUGCAGGCUUGUCAUGUACGGCUCAGAACAACACACCCUCGAGGCAGCCCACCCUGCCACGGGGACACAAAGGUGCGCGCUUUCCAAGGAACGAGAGAAGAGGGAAGGGGGGCUUUCACCACUCUGCCCCCAGCCUUACCCCAAAACGAGAGGGAGAAAUCACCGGUCAUUUUUACCACUGUUGAACUAUCAAAAUAAAGAA